rnacentral:lncRNA from 1 species
UAUGAGCAUGAUUUUCAGGUAUAGGUUUUGAUGAAUAACAAACAAUGAAGUCAAGCAUCAAACAACGAUAUAAUAUGACAAACAAUCAAAUGGCGAGAAGCAUACUGAUGACGGAAUUGCAUGAACAAGCCAAAGUCGAGCCAAAGAGUUCAAGACCGAAGACCCAAGACGUAGGUCGUUUGGUGGAACCAAUGUAAGAACAACGCUUAAGUUAUCUCGUCUUUUGGCUCAACAUUAGGUCAUCAUAAACAUGCAUAAAACAUUUUGUUAAAUCUUAUUUAUUAUAAACAUGCAUCUUUUGAUUUGUAUUUUAAUCAAAAUGGUUUAUAAACAUGUCUUU